CAACAGGACAAUGGCUGGCAUAGAGUUGAACUAAGUAUUUUCAAGUUCUAUGCCCAGGGAGUCUUUCCCAGGCAGUUAUAGAUUUACCAGAGUCAGAAGGAAAGCUUGCUAUUUCCUGGUGACAAUGAAUAUGUUUACAGUUAGUUCAAAAGUCAGAGGUGAUUAGUGGACAGUGGUUGAACCCACUCUGACCUCUCUAUCCAUUUCCCACGCUACCAUUGCUUUUUAAAUAGGAGUGUGCCUGAGGUCACUCAAGAAAAUAAGCAUAGACAUAGGAAAGACAGCAGAGAUGAAACAGAACAUUUCAAAAAUAGAACAGAAAGUCAUAGAGCUACCUGAUCACAACCAUGUCCCUUAGUCCCAGAGCUCUAGAAAAGGACUUCAGGAAUUGUUCAUGAGAGAGGAUGGAGUAUAAAUUGUAAUUCAUGCACAAAAGGAAAUAGGAAGAGAGAAAAGUCUUGAUUCAUUCCUUGAAGAGUAAAUUUCUGAUUGUUUGAGAUAGGCAGAAAGAUUCUGUGUUCUUUCUGAUGAGCAAAUGUUACUUUAUAAUUAGAAAAUAAAGUUAUAGUCAUCAUUUUGAGAAAAUAAUAAAAUGACCAGUAGUCUACCUGUUUGGUUUCCUUCUUACAAAUAAUUUCUUUCUCUCUUUUCUUCUCUGCCUCCCACUGAUUCAGAUGUGUCUGACACAGGUAAUGUCCUGCCAUCCUUCCCAAUGUUCUCGAUUGUUUCCUUAUUAAAGAAGCCCAUCAGGCUGUGAGCUCUGCUCUGUGGACAGGUCGGGCAAGAUUGUUGUGGUGGAGUGGAGGGAGGCUCAGAGCCGAGGCUGAAUUCCAACCCAACCUCUUCUGGGUUGUCACAUAGGUAGACCCCUCACUCCUGGUUAAACUCAGUGUAUGGGGUAUCCUUAACAAGGGGUAGCAUUCUCAUUCUCCUCUAGAUAUUUUUUGCUUUGUUUUCUAAUGGGGUCUCACUAUGUUGUCCAGGCUGGUCUUGAACUUGCAAUCCCCCUGCCUCCCAAUCCCAAAUAGCUGGGAUUAUAGGCAUAAAAUAGUAUUCUCAACAGAACUGGGAACUAAAAUUAUUAUUCUACACAGAUCCAGUGUUGCAUUUGAUGUCUAUAAUGUGGGCAGACUUACAUAAAGAUAGCCCCACCUUUGACCUUGACCCUAUUCAAUAGCAAUUAUAACACACACACUUACUACAUUUCAUAUCUUCCUUUGAUAGAUUGCAUUUUUUAAAAAACUUCCCUGUCUUUUUCUUCUCAACUUAACUUACAUUCUUUUGGGUCUUUUGACUAUUGCUUCAAUACAGAUAGGCUUUCUGAACACAGUACAGCCCAGGAUCCCUUGGUUCAGUUCUUACUAACUCAUACACUGAGAAAUAGAGAUGGAACCUUCACAAGCUAAGAUUUCCCAUUAUCUAAGGAAAGUGGAAUAUUUUAAGGUUGAUUUGAGGGGACCCAUGACAUCUCUGCAGUGAAAGAAAUACCUGCAGAGCAAACUGUAAAUAAAUGGAAUCCAGCUCAGGGAAAUAGAAUAAGGGACACCAAGCCACUCAUGUCGUUUGCAGGUGCCUGUUAUUCAUGUCCAUCUUGCUUGCUGUUCUGGGUUAUGAUGCAUGGAUAUGGCAUUCCCCCCAUGACAACACCAACUUUUAAAGCAAACGUUGAUUGCUCACCUAUUAGGUGCAAAGCAUUCUAGUACAUUUUCAUAAAUGAAGACUAUACCAUUCCAGCCCCUAAAGCUUCAACUGUUUCCCAGUGUUUGUGUUUUCUCUGACUAUCAUGGUGUGAUUAUAUCAUCAGCAGAUUUGGGAAUUUUCCGGCGGGCAGCCAUGGUGAUAUACACAGACUGUAUCCAUCAGUGUAGCCGGCCACUGUACAUGGUACGUGCAUGCUCCCUUGUUCCUUGGACUUCUCCCCAAAAGUGGGGGGGGGGAACAGCAGGAGGGACAGGCUUGGGGCAGUCACUCAAAGCUUCAAAAAUCCAAAGGGCCAGAUGGCUCAGAGUGGCUGGGAUCCAGUUAGUGGAGGAAGCAUGUUGUUUACUCCUUUUCAUAAAAGACAAGCUAGGAUGGUCCCAUUUUUGUAAAUGAAGUGUUUGCUAAUCUAUGGGAAAGUAAAUUAAUAAAUUCAAACUUUUAAGUAGUGUUAAUUGUUGUGGAAGAGGAUCAAGAGAGAAUAUCCCUAUAAAUAAUCACCUAAAGAGGUACCCUGGUGAAAUAACAAGGUAGGCUAUUAAUCUAUUAACCAGGACAGCAGGUAAAAACCAGAGUUGUCUCAAGCAUACUGGGACAUGUAGUCACUCAGUCACAUUCAUUAGGAGUUUAAUACAUUUUACAUUAAAUAUUUCUGCAUUGUUUGGUUUUUACAAUAAGCAAAAAUUGUGGUUGAAAUAAACUUUAGAAGUCCUCUCUUAUAGUUUUUAGCAUAUUGUCCAUUUCUAUAUUCAUCCUAGAGACGAGGGCCCUGGCCAGCUGUCUUGGCACACUGGCUAAUGAUCUUGGGAAGGCUACUUGCCUGCUCUGAGCUUACUGCCUGAGCCUUUGGUCAGAUCUAGUGAUACAUUUGGGCCUGGCACAUAGGAGUUCAACAAAUACCUGCUAAUAGUUUAUAAUCAGACUGAUUUUUACGUAAAAGAACAUGGGAAUCUUAUAGCCCUCUAUAGCUUGGGUAAGAACUACAGGCACUAAAAAAUUGAGGAAAUUGAGGGUAGAGGGUUUAUUCAGG
rnacentral:lncRNA from 1 species